GGUCCGGUGGUGUAGUGGUUAACAUGCUAGUCUGUCACACUGGAGAUCGCGGGUUCAAGUCCCGUCCGGACCGCCA
rnacentral:tRNA from 1 species